ACUAAAUAGGUAUUAAAUGUUUCGAUACUUCUACAUUGCAGCCCUAAUUACAAUGUAACCCUAGACAAGAGCAAGUUAUCGAUAGGAAGGGAGCGAGUGUAGAGUCGAGAGUCAAGUGGAAAAGUUGUCAAAAGCGGUUGUUACUAAAUCUAAAUUUCGUCAUAAGUCUAUAUAAUUAAAUGUUAAGCUAUAUUUUUUGUUUAUAUAAACCAUAUAAGCGGAAAACUUGCCCUAAUGCUCGCUCAUGAUUCCAUCCUGGACAUGGCAACAAAUGCCGCAUGCAUAUACAUUGCGCACAAGAACAAUUCAGAGAACAGGCUGGUUACAAGCCCAGAAAGGCAAGGAGACAACAGAGGGCCGAGAAAAGCCUCCCUGCUGGUUGCACAAGCAAUCGGCGACAAACGCCUUGGAAUGGCACGGUCUAUUCUCUGACUAGAGCUUCAAAUUACCGCAAGCCGAUAUUGACGACCCAGAGAAAGCAGCUAACGGCUCGAUCGCCCAUUUCAAAUCCAGGCGUCAUCGGUGCUGUCAAUCCAAUAUAAAAAUUGUCUUUAAGUAGCCUGGGAGGCGAGAAGAGGAAGUCAGCAGGAUGGUAAAACCUAAGCCACCGCUAUACGCCGCGCUGAGCCCUAGUGGCUCGGCGAUUGUUAAAAAGUUUAAAAGUUAAAAAUUUUACUGAAUCGAAGUUGCCAGAAGCAGUAACGUAGUGUAAAGCAUCGUU